GAUGAAGAACGUAGCGAAAUGCGAUAAGUCAUGUGAAUUGCAGAAUUCAGUGAAUCAUCGAAUCUUUGAACGCACAUUGCGCCCGCCAGUAUUCUGGCGGGCAUGCCUGUUCGAGCGUCAUUACAACCCUCAGGCCCCCGGGCCUGGCGUUGGGGAUCGGCGGAGCCCCCCGUGGGCACACGCCGUCCCCCAAAUGCAGUGGCGGUCCCGCCGCAGCUUCCAUCGCGUAGUAGCUAACACCUCGCGACUGGAGAGCGGCGCGGCCACGCCGUAAAACACCCAACUCUUCUGAAGUUGACCUCGAAUCAGGUAGGAAUACCCGCUGAACUUAAGCAUAUCAAUAAGCGGAGGA
rnacentral:misc_RNA from 1 species